rnacentral:ncRNA from 1 species
UCAAUUCCAAUGAUGGUGAAGAGUAAUUUUGAUCCCACAUGAAAAGAGAGGAAACGCCCUGGGCUGAAAACGUUUCUACAUGUGCCUUAAUGAACGAACACACCGUAGGAUUCUCCCUGAAAAAUCACGUAUCUAGUAGGGGUUGAACGUUCACAGGCGUUAACUGUUAAAGUGGGGAGGCUUUUAUGUCUCCAACUAGGGUGGCACCGCGGGUAACAACUCCCGUCCCUUGC